GCGGAGAUAUUUUUAAUAACAAAGACCUACAUGCAGUCGAGCGAGCUUGCCUAGAUGAUUUUAGUGCUUGCACUAAAUGAAACUAGAUACAAGCGACCGUCGGACGGGUGAGUAACACGUGGGUAACCUGCCCAAGAGACUGGGAUAACACCUGGAAACAGAUGCUAAUACCGGAUAACAACACUAGACGCAUGUCUAGAGUUUGAAAGAUGGUUCUGCUAUCACUCUUGGAUGGACCUGCGGUGCAUUAGCUAGUUGGUAAGGUAACGGCUUACCAAGGCAAUGAUGCAUAGCCGAGUUGAGAGACUGAUCGGCCACAUUGGGACUGAGACACGGCCCAAACUCCUACGGGAGGCGGCAGUAGGGAAUCUUCCACAAUGGACGAAAGUCUGAUGGAGCAACGCCGCGUGAGUGAAGAAGGGUUUCGGCUCGUAAAGCUCUGUUGGUAGUGAAGAAAGAUAGAGGUAGUAACUGGCCUUUAUUUGACGGUAAUUACUUAGAAAGUCACGGCUAACUACGUGCCAGCAGCCGCGGUAAUACGUAGGUGGCAAGCGUUGUCCGGAUUUAUUGGGCGUAAAGCGAGUGCAGGCGGUUCAAUAAGUCUGAUGUGAAAGCCUUCGGCUCAACCGGAGAAUUGCAUCAGAAACUGUUGAACUUGAGUGCAGAAGAGGAGAGUGGAACUCCAUGUGUAGCGGUGGAAUGCGUAGAUAUAUGGAAGAACACCAGUGGCGAAGGCGGCUCUCUGGUCUGCAACUGACGCUGAGGCUCGAAAGCAUGGGUAGCGAACAGGAUUAGAUACC
rnacentral:rRNA from 1 species